UACGCACAUAUCACGUUGAAACACCGGUUCUCGAAAGAUGAUCGAAGUUAAGCAACGUCGAGCAUGGUCAGCACUUAUAUGGGUGACCGCUUGGAAUACCAGGUGCUGUAAG